rnacentral:rRNA from 1 species
AACGUAGGAGGCGAGCGUUAUCCGGAUUUACUGGGUGUAAAGCGCGUGCAGGCGGUGGUGUAAGUGGAGCGUGAAAGCGCCCGGCUCAACCGGGCGAGGACGUGCCAAACUGCACGACUGGAGGUAGGUAGAGGCGUGUGGAAUUUCGGGUGUAGUGGUGAAAUGCGUAGAGAUCCGGAGGAACACCAGUGGCGAAGGCGACACGCUGGGCCUGACCUGACGCUAAGACGCGAAAGCAUGGGGAGCGAACGGG